ensembl:snoRNA small nucleolar RNA SNORA77
GCAGACUCACUCUGCACCUGGAUGCAGUCCCAGGCAGAUGCUUUUCCCGUCUGCCACAGAAACAGCCCAGGGUACUGUGACCUGUCAAGGGUGAUGCAGGUGCCCAGGAACACAGGA